AUACAUGCAGUAGACGCUGAGGAGGAGCUUGCUCUUCUGGAUGAGUUGCGAACGGGUGAGUAACGCGUAGGUAACCUGCCUGGUAGCGGGGGAUAACUAUUGGAAACGAUAGCUAAUACCGCAUAACAUUGACUAUUGCAUGAUAGUCAAUUGAAAGGUGCAAAUGCACCACUACCAGAUGGACCUGCGUUGUAUUAGCUAGUUGGUGGGGUAACGGCUCACCAAGGCGACGAUACAUAGCCGACCUGAGAGGGUGAUCGGCCACACUGGGACUGAGACACGGCCCAGACUCCUACGGGAGGCAGCAGUAGGGAAUCUUCGGCAAUGGACGAAAGUCUGACCGAGCAACGCCGCGUGAGUGAAGAAGGUUUUCGGAUCGUAAAGCUCUGUUGUAAGAGAAGAACGAGUGUGAGAGUGGAAAGUUCACACUGUGACGGUAUCUUACCAGAAAGGGACGGCUAACUACGUGCCAGCAGCCGCGGUAAUACGUAGGUCCCGAGCGUUGUCCGGAUUUAUUGGGCGUAAAGCGAGCGCAGGCGGUUAGAUAAGUCUGAAGUUAAAGGCUGUGGCUUAACCAUAGUACGCUUUGGAAACUGUUUAACUUGAGUGCAGAAGGGGAGAGUGGAAUUCCAUGUGUAGCGGUGAAAUGCGUAGAUAUAUGGAGGAACACCGGUGGCGAAAGCGGCUCUCUGGUCUGUAACUGACGCUGAGGCUCGAAAGCGUGGGGAGCAAACAGGAUUAGAUACC
rnacentral:rRNA from 1 species